GUCAAACAGCUCUAAUACGACUCAUAGAAUCCUUCCUUAACGAUUAAGAUGAGGGCUGUUUGAUAGGCACAGUAUUUUAAGACCUAAAGAAGGCAUUUGAUUUGGUAGAUCACAACAUAUUGUUGCAUAAGUUAAAAUUGUACAAAUUUUCAAACACCUCAAUUAAACUCUUCAAAUCAUAUCUUGAAAAUAGAACACAGUUUAUCAAAUAUGGAAAUAGUCAUUCAAAUAGUGGAACAGUGAAAUCAGGGGUCCCUCAAGGGUCUAUAUUAGGCCCUUUACUUUUCAUUUUCUACGUUAAUGAUAUGCCAUUUAGUACAACACACUCUAACAUAGACAUGUAUGCUGACGAUACAACUAUGCAUGCAUCAAAUAAAAAAAUUGAAGUGAUUCAGAGAACUCUGCAAUGUGAUGUUGAUAAUAUAAGCAAAUGGUGUAAAUUAAACAACAUGGCAAUAAAUCCGAAAAAGACCACUUGUAUGAUAAUAGGGUCAGAAAAUAAAUUAAAAUCAAAACCUUCUUUAGAUAUAAAUAUAGAAGGUACAUGCCUAAGUCAAACGAAAUCACAGAAAUUAUUAGCACGUCUGUAAUAAAUUACAAAAAAAAAUUGCUCUCUUAAAGCGUAUAUCGUACUUUUUAUCCGCUGAAAUGAAAGAAAUGUUUUACAAUGCUUAUAUUUUACCUUGUUUUGAUUAUUGUUGUAUUAUAUGGAGUACUUGUAAUAAAACUGAAUUUGAAAAAGUGAAUAAACUGCAGAAACGC